UUAUGGAUGUGAUCAAAUGGAAUGCUCUGGGAGUUGUAGUCUUUCAAACAGCUGUGAAUUUCUAUACCUGUAUUGGAACACUACAGCUCCUAGAAAUUCCUAGUCUCUCAAUCAUCAAGAG
rnacentral:precursor_RNA from 14 species